UAGAAAACGCAGGACAGGGGAUUUGUUUCAGAGUUUUUUUUUUUAAGAGAGAUUUUUGGUUGUGAAAGAGAGAGUCUCAGAGCAGAAAUCACUAGUGAAAGAUGGUCUCAGAGAAGGAUGUUUGGUAGGGGAAAAGCAGGGAAAGAUGUCUGAGGGAGUGAGUCGGAUCUUCUUGAGGAUUUUGUGAGAAAGAUUAGGGAAAAAUCACAGCAUCAGUUAGGAGUACUCAGGGAAGGUUCUAAAGAAAACUGUGGAGGUUCUUGAGGUGAUGCAAUUUUGUUUUCAGAUCUGAAAGAAAAGGUUUCAGGAGGCAGAAGCUCACUGUGCGACCUUCAUCUUCUUGGAUCCCUCCUUCGACAGAUCGAAGCUGCACUUCUACCCCUUCGAUUCCUCUCUGUUUGACUUAAUUUUUCCAGAUCUAAGGGAGGGGAAGAAGUUUGGUGUAUUGUGCGCUUAUUGCUCCCAACUUUUUUAGUUUUUCCAUGGGCACCUUAAAUGAUUUCUACUUCCUGACGUAAACUUACCUAAUCAUCCAAGUAGCUUAAACAAGGUGUCACCACAUGGAAAACGGCUCGACAAAGGACGCCAUUUGCCAACCAGUUACCAAAUCAACUAACAUUUGCUUAAUGGUGUCCAUAGGGCCAGAACUUUUUUGAGGGGAUGCACUUUGAUUUUACCAAGGGACUUGGUCAGAAAUUCUCCCUAAAGUGACAGGUACCUGGCACUUCUAAUGGUCAAAGUAAGUCACCGCAACAAGGAAAUAUUUCAGAAACUCAAAUAUAGAGCUUGAGAGACUUGGACCCGAAAAAAGCACUUAAAAACUAGUGGAGUCUAAUAAAAUAAUUUUUUUUACUGUACAAUUUGAAUUUUGGAAUAUGAUGGAGUUUAAUUUUUUAGAUAAGAUUGUAGAAUUAAUUAUUGUGGAUAUAAUUGAUUGGGAUGAUGAUUGUGAAUUUAUUCUUUUUUCUUAUUUAAGUGAUUUGGA